CAGAAGAGGACAGUGGAACUCCAUGUGUAGCGGUGAAAUGCGUAGAUAUAUGGAAGAACACCAGUGGCGAAGGCGGCUGUCUGGUCUGUAACUGACGCUGAGGCUCGAAAGUAUGGGUAGCAAACAGGAUUAGAUACCCUGGUAGUCCAUACCGUAAACGAUGAAUGCUAAGUGUUGGAGGGUUUCCGCCCUUCAGUGCUGCAGCUAACGCACUAAGCAUUCCGCCUGGGGAGUACGGCCGCAAGGCUGAAACUCAAAGGAAUUGACGGGGGCCCGCACAAGCGGUGGAGCAUGUGGUUUAAUUCGAAGCUACGCGAAGAACCUUACCAGGUCUUGACAUACUAUGCAAAUCUAAGAGAUUAGACGUUCCCUUCGGGGACAUGGAUACAGGUGGUGCAUGGUUGUCGUCAGCUCGUGUCGUGAGAUGUUGGGUUAAGUCCCGCAACGAGCGCAACCCUUAUUAUCAGUUGCCAGCAUUAAGUUGGGCACUCUGGUGAGACUGCCGGUGACAAACCGGAGGAAGGUGGGGAUGACGUCAAAUCAUCAUGCCCCUUAUGACCUGGGCUACACACGUGCUACAAUGGAUGGUACAACGAGUUGCGAACUCGCGAGAGUAAGCUAAUCUCUUAAAGCCAUUCUCAGUUCGGAUUGUAGGCUGCAACUCGCCUACAUGAAGUCGGAAUCGCUAGUAAUCGCGGAUCAGCAUGCCGCGGUGAAUACGUUCCCGGGCCUUGUACACACCGCCCGUCACACCAUGAGAGUUUGUAACACCCAAAGUCGGUGGGGUAACCUUUUAGGAACCAGCCGCCUAAGGUGGGACAGAUGAUUAGGGUGAAGUCGUAAACAAGGUAGCCGUA
rnacentral:rRNA from 1 species